ACGGAGGGUGCGAGCGUUAUUCGGAAUUACUGGGCGUAAAGCGCGUGCAGGCGGGGAGGCAAGUCUGAUGUGAAAAUACUGGGCUUAACCCGGGAAGUGCAUUUGAAACUGUUGUUCUUGAGUGCUGGAGAGGAAGGGGGAAUUCCCUGUGUAGCGGUGAAAUUCGUAGAGAUCGGGAGGAAUACCAGUGGCGAAGGCGGCCUUCUGGACGUUAACUGACGCUGAGACGCGAAAGCGUGGGGAGCAAACAG
rnacentral:rRNA from 1 species